GACGAACGCUGGCGGCGUGCUUAACACAUGCAAGUCGAACGGAAAGGCCCUGCUUUUGUGGGGUGCUCGAGUGGCGAACGGGUGAGUAACACGUGAGUAACCUGCCCUUGACUUUGGGAUAACUUCAGGAAACUGGGGCUAAUACCGGAUAGGAGCUCCUGCUGCAUGGUGGGGGUUGGAAAGUUUCGGCGGUUGGGGAUGGACUCGCGGCUUAUCAGCUUGUUGGUGGGGUAGUGGCUUACCAAGGCUGUGACGGGUAGCCGGCCUGAGAGGGUGACCGGCCACAUUGGGACUGAGAUACGGCCCAGACUCCUACGGGCGGCAGCAGUGGAGAAUAUUGCACAAUGGGCGGAAGCCUGAUGCAGCAACGCCGCGUGCGGGAUGACGGCCUUCGGGUUGUAAACCGCUUUCGCCUGUGACGAAGCGUGAGUGACGGUAAUGGGUAAAGAAGCACCGGCUAACUACGUG
rnacentral:rRNA from 1 species